AUAAAAGCUUUCUAGGGUUCCGCAACGCUUAAUGUUGGACUGGUCCGAGAGGAAGCCACAUGUUAAAUGUGACACGGAAGGAUAAAAGCCUGGGAGAU
rnacentral:sRNA from 2 species